rnacentral:rRNA from 1 species
UACAGAGGUCUCAAGCGUUGUUCGGAUUCAUUGGGCGUAAAGGGUGUGUAGGUGGCGCGCUAAGUCGGGUGUGAAACUUCGGAGCUUAACUCCGGAAACUGCAUUCGAUACUGGCCGUGCUUGAGGACUGGAGAGGAGACUGGAAUUCAUGGUGUAGCAGUGAAAUGCGUAGAGAUCAUGAGGAAGACCAGUGGCGAAGGCGGGUCUCUGGACGAGUUCCUGACACUGGAGGACGAAGGCCAGGGGAGCAAACGGGAUUAGAACCUCCCAGUCA